CCUACGGGCGGCAGCAGUGGGGAAUAUUGGACAAUGGGGGGAACCCUGAUCCAGCCAUGCCGCGUGUGUGAAGAAGGCCCUCGGGUUGUAAAGCACUUUCAGUGAGGAAGAACGCCUGGUGGUUAAUACCCAUCAGGAAAGACAUCACUCACAGAAGAAGCACCGGCUAACUCCGUGCCAGCAGCCGCGGUAAUACGGAGGGUGCGAGCGUUAAUCGGAAUUACUGGGCGUAAAGCGCGCGUAGGUGGCUUGAUAAGCCGGUUGUGAAAGCCCCGGGCUCAACCUGGGAACGGCAUCCGGAACUGUCAAGCUAGAGUGUAGGAGAGGAAGGUAGAAUUCCCGGUGUAGCGGUGAAAUGCGUAGAGAUCGGGAGGAAUACCAGUGGCGAAGGCGGCCUUCUGGACUGACACUGACACUGAGGUGCGAAAGCGUGGGUAGCAAACAGGAUUAGAUACCCUUGUAGUC
rnacentral:rRNA from 1 species